CUUAUGAACAGUACCUCCCUUAGUAACAGUGUACUGCCCAUUUUACCCCUGAUUUUUUCUGGUAUUUUUGCAUGGUUGCCCCCGAAUCCCCGAGACAGGUGUUUUGCAACCUGUUGCGCCGGGUCUGCGUGUUUGCUCUCCAAGAGGACAAUUGUUUCUUUGCAUCUUCAAAAGAGCGACAAAGAGAGCGAGGGCAUGCUUCUUUGCUUCGCACGGAGAGAGAGAAAGGGAACGAUCGAGUUUUGGUUGGAAUUCAAAUAGGGAACUGAGCUUCCAAAAUCGACGAUUCUCGAGCCAAUCAAUAGUUCGGGUCCGGCGCCGACAAUACUUCCAAUACUGAGAGGGGGCUUAAGAGAAUCAAAGACGUUAACCACUUCUAUCGUCAGAGGUCAAGUACCAAGAGACUUCUUUUCAUUAGCUCUGAAGGAUUUUGGACAAGUAGCAAAGAGAUUUAGUUUUACGAAUUUCAGUGGUGGGCAGGCAAAGAAGCUCAAAGUUGUGGUACUCGAGCAGCUCAACCGACAAUGACACUAAUGACACAAAGAAAGUUGGUGCUGAAGAAGAUUUUUACGAUUUUCUUAGGUGGCUUGAAAGAUAUGAAAUGGAAGCCCAAGGUGUGGAUCCCAAGAGGGGUUGGGGAUUUCGUGGUAUGCACAAGGUAUUUUUACUCAGUUGAAUGUUAUAGUUUCCAUGUGUAUGUGGAUGCAUAUGUCUGCAAAUACAUCCGCAUUGUGUCAUAACGUGUAAAGAUUACUAGCGUUAUUUGACCAGAGCUUCCAAACCAUGUUUACUCCAACUGAAUGUUAUAGUUUCCAGGUGUAUGUGGACGUGUCAUAUCUCAGUGAGGUUUCUUGACACAAAUUGAAAAAAAGAAGCAUCUAAUUAUAGUUUAUUUUAAUAUGGUUCUGCUUAAGCAAACUCAAAUUGAUCUAAAACUCUUGCUGUGAUGUGAUGGGUUUUAGGUUUUGAUACAUACUGGUAGUUCAAUCCUUUCUCUAAACCUUCCUAUGGGGACUGCUUCAUUCUGUGUUUCAUCACUUAAGUUCAUAGACUUCUUUAUGUUAUGAAUUGCAUGAACUCUGAUUCAUUGCAUUGUAGAUCACGAUUAAUUUGAUUCAUAAUCUGUUUUGAAAAUUGUCAGAGUGAGAUAAAUUGCAUCUUUUGGUUCUGUUUUUAUUUUUAUUUUUUUUUAUUCAAAUUUAUUUACAGCAUUUUAUUUCCACCAGCAUGAGAACUGUUGCUCUGAGGUGACGAAUUCUGGUAGUUCAAUCUUUCUGCAAACCUUCAUAUGAAGUCUGCUUCAUUCUGUGUUUCGUUAUUUAUAUCAGAGUCAGAUAUAUUGCCUCCUUUGGUUACAAUUUACGCCUUUAAAAUACCAAACUUCAUUUUCUGUUUAAAUUUCAAUGUGAAGAUACAGACCCUAAUUGUUUAUUACUGCUUUACCAGAAGCCAUGGCUUUUAUUGUCAAGCAUUUUGUUUGAAGUUGCAAACUUUGAUUUCAUGUUCUUACUAGGUUCUUUGAAUUUCUGAUACUUUCUGUAUUUGGAUAAGUUUGCUGUAAUGGGUUUUCGAUUAUGGUGCUUCUUCUUUCUAAAACAAAAUUCUCUGUCUUAUGUGGUAUUGUCGAUUGCAUUCAAAAAGUGAUGUAUUUGAUUGCAGAUCGAUAUACUUAGGAUGACGGUACAAAUUUUGAGCUGACAAAGUUUGAUAAUGAAAAUAUAAUCUUUGAGCUUUUAUGGGAGUGUAGGCUACGUGUCUUAAGUGUUUGUGAUAUAUGUACAGAGUUUGCUAUUCUGUAUCCUUUUGAUCAUCGAGGAAUUGUGAUAUUUGUAUUUGUCCGCACUCUGCUGUACAUCAAUCCUAUUAUCAAGAAUUCACAACAUCGUUUGAAUGGGAACUUUUAUAUGUAAUAGAGAGGGUUUUGACUCUUCCAUGUUUAUAUGUGUGACUAUGAAUGUUCUGUUGCUUUUUCCACCUGUGGUGUGUAUACAGUGCAGUCAUUCCCUCUCCCAUGUUGGUUCAUAUUUCAAAAAACCUUCUACUUACAUACGGUAUUGCUAAUAUAAGUUAAAUAUUCUUGCUGAGCUGCUGUGUUUUGGAGAUCGAGAGUUCUAUAAAGAUUGCUAGAAUGCAAAAUCAGUUGACGAGGUAGGUUCUAUGUCCUGUGAAAUGCAUUAGUAGUUCGUCCUCUUACAGAUCUUUGCUGACAUGAAAUUUCUGACCAUUGACUUUUGUUGUACGGCUCUUCUGGCUUCUUGGCUGCAUCAGUAUUGCUUAGGCCCCAUUGAUUAGAUUACUCAAUAUCUCUGUUUUUCUUAUUCAAAUCUUCAAAUUUAGAUACCACUAUAUUUUUUUCUUGGUCCCAAUUUUCUGUUUCUAAUAAUAUCAGAAGAAAACAAAGACCUUAGAUACAGAUAAAAUAUCAAGAAGAAAACAAAAACCUUAGAUACAGAUAAAUCAGAUGCAAACUAUAUAUAAACAGUGGUCAAUUUCUAAUGCCUUCUCCAAUAACAUUGAUUAAGGAGAUUAAUGCUCUAAAGUCUAAAACAUAUUUUCUUUUAAGAAUUACCUCCUCUUAUUUGUAUUUCUAAAUUAAAGUUCUCAUUAGAGAAAUGACCAAAAUAUUACUUCUGCUAUUGUGUCUGUUUGAUAUUAAAUAGGGUUGGAAGGAAAGUGCUUCUUAUAUGUUACUGUUUGAUCAUAUUCAAGAUUACAUUUCAACGGCAACUUCAGUCACUCUUUUCUUCUCUUACCAUCCAAUCUUUCAGUGGCAGCCCCCAGAUCAACAGCAGAUGAUGAUGAUACAUCUGAAGAACUUAUAUAUAGUAAUACCAGCGUCUGCUAAAAAAUUUUACUUUUGAAAUAUGUAAAUAUGCAAGUUUGGUUAAAACACCAGCUUUUGUACUAUGGAAGGGAUAACAUUUUGAAUUAACAUUUCUUAGCUUAUGAUUGUGAA